rnacentral:misc_RNA from 1 species
GCUGUUGGUGCGUAAAUAUUGGUGAAGGUGAGUACCUCCGUUCUGUUGGUUGGAUUUGCGGUUUACAUUUAGGGUUGGCUUCCAUAGGCAUUGUUACAGUGGGUUUAACUAUACCAUGGCAAGGAAAACUCGUAUUCAGCUUCAAGUGUUGAUAAUUGAAAUGAAAUGGAAAAAAGAGCGACUAAGGUACACAAUUAACAUUUGGUUCUUAACUGAUGAAUCCUGUGUUAAUGACCGACAUGAAGGUUUGAUUGGGUACUUAACUUUUCUCUCAACUUCUGGUGGUCCAUAAUCAAGAAAUGGCGAAGACUGCGAGUUUCAUUCAUGUUAUAAGUACAGAUUGUUAGGAAUGAAGUUGCUGCAAAUAUCGCUAUUCACGAGGUCGAUUAUCAUGAAAUGGAAUAGGAGUUUCCUGUAGUGAUGGCAGUUGGAGGGGCGUUCGAAAUUUUCUUUUUCCUUAAAAUUUUCUUGUGUUAACAAUAGUAAAAGUUGUUUUUGUGAUGUGAUAUGUAGUCUUUGUUUUGCCAUUAAGCCAUGUUUCCUCUUUACUUGUGAUAACUCCGUAGGCAGUUGUGAUGUUUUGGCAUUAACGUAUCUCAGAAAUAUCAAUAAAACACAUUUUGAAACAUA